UUUUUCUAUAAGGCAUGAUAGCUGGCGUACACUGCACUUUCUAUAUAUAAUUUUUUUACUACGCUCUAAGGCUAUGAAAAGCUAGAACGUGAAGCUCCCCUCUAACCGCCCAGCACUAUAACUAUUUGAAUCUUUAGAAACUGUUUUAAAAAGAAGCCACCGUGCCGAUGAAGAGGGUCUACGUAAAACUGAAUGCCUUAACCGAGCUUGACUUAAGAGAGGCGAUAAAUAGAUCUUUUAGAGCUCCGAUACUUAUUUGGCCGUCUUACUUCAUAUUUGGGCCACAUGUAAAGCAGAAGCCUUUUUCCAAUUUAUAGGUUACGCUUGUGUUAAGAUCUUAAAAAACUGUGUUUAGUCUCUUUUGAGUUUGGCUAAAACCUAGCUGGAAAUUUUUUUACAGCACGAGUCUCUAGACUGUUCAGGUUUAUAUGCGGAAUUGUUUGAAGAUUGGCAUAUUACGACCGGGCUCUUAUGAGAGAUGAGAAUUCUGCUUAGUUUAAUUUGUGAAGCAAGUAUGAAGUUUUUUACUUUUAGGCAAUUAGAAGGUAAACACUUGUGUUAU